rnacentral:lncRNA from 1 species
GGCAGCACUUCUGUGCUGGGCGGGUGACGGAGCCCUGGCACAGGCUGCCCAGAGAGGCUGUGGGGUCUCCUCCUUGGGGAUCUCCAAAAGCCGCCUGGACGUGGUCCUGGGCAGCCUGCUCUGGGUGUCCCUGCUUGGGCAGAACUUGAACCAGGUGACCUCCAGAGGUCCCUGCCAACCUCAUCCAUCCUGUCAUUCUGCAAUUCUGUAGUCAAUAAAAUGACUGGUGAUGAAUUCAGUACCAUUUGGAUUAGGCCUUGAAUGGAUUAUUUACCAGGAAAGCCUACAAGCAAACCUGCAGUUUACCUGUAGCUGACUGCAAACAACAGCACUGGUAACAAUAUCCCAAUGUCAGCUGCGGAUUUUACUUUUUUAUUAUCAUAAAAUAUGUGGCAUCUGAAUCUGCUCUUUGUCCACCCAAAACAGUUCUGAAUACAGCAGCAUAGCAAAUGAGUUGAAAUCACCCCAGACCUUAGUCAGCUGGAGCACUAAUGUGGACAGCAAGAGGAAUGCAUGGACCCUGUCUGCAGGUCAGUGGGAUCCUCAGACAAAGCUCAGGGCAGAAGCUCCUCAGCAGCAACUCACCCGCGGUGAUGCCACCAGGUCCCUGGUGAGGCAGGGGGCUUUCUGCGUCCAGGGGGCUCACACACAGCCCUGAGCAAGACUGCUCCCCUUGCCAUGUGAAAUGUGAGCAUGACAGCAUAAAACACUCAGGACAAGGAGCAGCGGGCUUCCUGCAACUGUUUCUAAUCACAGCUUUUUUUUAGGGGGGCUUCUUUUACAUUUUUUCCAUAUACAGGAAUAAGGGGGGAGGGUGGUGGGUCCGUCAUCUGCAGGUGAUUCUGUGUACUGUACAGGAUGUUUUCUACAUCAGUGGAUGAAUGCUGUAAAUUUGUCUCUGUUUUGUCAUGACCGUAAAUCCAUCUGUCAAUAUAUUUUUUUUAAAUCUUAAAUCAUUU